AACAAAAACUUAACUCUAAUAUAAUACUAACUAAAUUCUAAUUAGGUCAUAAUAAUGCUAAAGAAGCUUUAAUCAAAUUCAAAGAAAUCCUAGCAAAAUUUCAAAGAAACAAUAAGAAAUCUUAAAGCAAUAUUAAAAUGAUGACAAAUAUAUCUCAAAUACAUCUCAAUUCAAUCCUAAUACAAUCUUAGUUAAAAUCCAAUUUAACUUUAUUCAAAUUUUACCCCAAAACUAAUUAAAUCUUAAAUCCUAAAUAAACCCUAAUAAAAUCUUAAAUCCUAAAUUAAAUCCUAAAUCCUAAAUCAAAUUCUAAAUUCAAAAUCAAAUCCUAACUAAAUCUUAAAUCUUAAAUCUUAAAUCAAAUCUUAAAUCUUAAACCAAAUCUUAAACUUUAAACCAAAUCCUAAUCAAACCCUAAAUCAAACCCCAACCAAACUCUAAAUAAAAUCCUAACCAAACUCCAAACCUUGAAUCAACUCCUAAACCCUAAACCAAAUCCUAAUCCAAUCUUAAAUCAAAUCCUAACCAAAUCCUAAAUUAAAUCCUAAAUCCUAAAUCAACCCCUAAUCAAAUCUUAAUCCUAAAUCAAAUCCUAACCAAAUUCUAAGUCCUAAACCAAAUCCUAACCAAAUUCUAACCCCUAAACCAAAUCCUAACUAAACCCUAAUAAUUUCUACAACAAAUUUAAACCUCAAUAACUAAUGAAUGAACCAUUGAUCUUAAUUCAAAUUUUGUAUA
rnacentral:lncRNA from 1 species